GUCGACUUUACUCAUAGGAUCAUUUCUAUAGUAAACGUCCUCUUCUGAGCUCCUUACCAGAGCCACAGAAUCUCCAACCUGGCUGAUGAGCGCAUAUCCCCGACGCCCUAGAGUGAGGCCUUUGUGCGCCGGCUUCGGCUGGCGCGGCGAUGAUCUCGACCCUGCCGGGUGCCUUGACUUCGGUCGGCCUGGCUGGGUGGGCGUUGGCGGUCGUCUGACAGGC
rfam:Neofusicoccum parvum TCRNP2 chromosome Tnknown NP2_03_scaffold_718, whole genome shotgun sequence.